CCUACGGGUGGCAGCAGUGAGGAAUAUUGGUCAAUGGGCGGGAGCCUGAACCAGCCAAGCCGCGUGAGGGAAGAAGGUACAGCGUAUCGUAAACCUCUUUUGUCAGGGAACAAAGGCGGGGACUAGUCCCCGGAUGAGGGUACCUUAAGAAAAAGCAUCGGCUAACUCCGUGCCAGCAGCCGCGGUAAUACGGAGGAUGCGAGCGUUAUCCGGAUUUAUUGGGUUUAAAGGGGGCGCAGGCGGCCUGUUAAGUCAGCGGGAAAAGCCCGGGGCUAAACCCCGGCGAGCCGUUGAAACUGGCGGGCUGGAGUUGGAGAGAGGUACGCGGAAUGCGCGGUGUAGCGGUGAAAUGCUUAGAUAUCGCGCAGAACCCCGAUUGCGAAGGCAGCGUACCGGCUCCACACUGACGCUGAGGCACGAAAGCGUGGGUAUCGAACAGGAUUAGAUACCCGAGUAGUC
rnacentral:rRNA from 1 species